rnacentral:misc_RNA from 1 species
UUUCGUAUCGUUCGGUGCAUUCUGGGGGUUGCUUCGGCUUUUGGUGAUUUGCUUGGCCUUUGGGUUGGGUGGGUCGCUACUAGUUGGGCGUCUUUCGGGGAUGAUAGCCGGGGAGGUGCAUGAGUGGUGUUUGGUUUGUUACGUGUGGAUGGCUGUGUGCUUGCGCAACAACGUCCACGCUGCAUACCUCUUCAGUUUUGUUGUCAAGACUCGAUUUGUCUUGAGCAUAUUGUGGGUUUUCUGUGUUGCAUACCUAAUCGAUGGUAACGUGUGGGUUUUAUGAUUUUCCUUUUCGUCAUGCGUCGUUUAUGCGGCGUGGGAUGAACAAUGAAGCGGCCUUUGUGAUCCAUCGUGUUGUUGUGUUUGCAACAAUAAGGUGGCCUAUGAAGCAUCGUUUGGUCUCUUGUGUAUGGAACCUAAUUUGGGCUAGGAUCUUUCAAAGAUCUUUAUUUUGCCCUUGUUAAGUGUUUUCGCUUCUCCAAAACGAUUGCCUAUCAUGUUUUGGCUUGUCCUUGCAUGGUGGGUUACCGUCGA